rnacentral:rRNA from 2 species
GUCUUUUUGAAAUAAUUUAAAGUCUAAUCUGCCCACUGAUAAAAAAUUAAAGGGCUGCAGUAUAAUGACUGUACAAAGGUAGCAUAAUCAAUAGUUUUUUAAUUGAAAACUUGUAUGAAAGAUUUGAUGAAAUAUGGACUGUCUCUAAUUUAUAGAUUGAAUUUUAUUUUUUAGUAAAAAAGCUAAAAUAAAUUUAAAAGACGAGAAGACCCUAUAGAGUUUUAUAUUUAAUUUUAUUUUAAAAUUAUAUAAAAAUUAAUAUUAAAAAUAAAAUUAAAUAUUAUAUUGGGGUGAUAGAAAAAUUAAAUUAACUUUUUUUAAAAAUUAAACAUAAAUAAAUGAUUGUAUGAUCCAUAAAUAAUGAUUAUAAGAAAAAAUUACCUUAGGGAUAACAGCGUAAUAUUUUUUUUUAGUUCAAAUAAAAAAAAAAGUUUGCGACCUCGAUGUUGGAUUAAGAUAAAAUUUAAAUGCAAAAGUUUAAAAAUUUUGAUCUGUUCGAUCAUUAAAAUCUUACA